AUUGAACGCUGGCGGCAGGCCUAACACAUGCAAGUCGAACGAGUGGCGGACGGGUUAGUAAUGUAUGGGAAACUGCCUGAUGGAGGGGGAUCACUACUGGACACGGUAGCUGAUACCGCCUACCUUCCGAUGUGCCCAGCUGGGAUUAGCUUGUUGGUGGGGUAACGGCUCACCACGGCGACGAUCCCUAGCUGGUCUGAGCGGAUGACCAGCCACACUGGAACUGAGACACGGUACAGACUCCGACGGGAGGCAGCAGUGGGGAAUAUGGAAAGAUGGGCGAAAGCCUGAUGCAGCCAUGCCGCGUGUAUGAAGAAGGCCUGCGGGUUGUAAAGUACUUUCAGCGGGGAGGCGUUACCCGCAGAAGAAGCACCGGCUAACUCCGUGCCAGCAGCCGCGGUAAUAC
rnacentral:rRNA from 1 species